UACGUAGGUGGCAAGCGUUGUCCGGAAUUAUUGGGCGUAAAGCGCGCGCAGGCGGCCUCUUAAGUCUGAUGUGAAAGCCUCCGGCUCAACCGGGGAGGGCCAUUGGAAACUGGGAGGCUUGAGUAUAGGAGAGAAGAGUGGAAUUCCACGUGUAGCGGUGAAAUGCGUAGAGAUGUGGAGGAACACCAGUGGCGAAGGCGACUCUUUGGCCUAUAACUGACGCUGAGGCGCGAAAGCGUGGGGAGCAAACAGG
rnacentral:rRNA from 1 species